rnacentral:rRNA from 1 species
AACGCUGGCGGCGUGCCUAACACAUGCAAGUCGAGCGAUUACUUCGGUAAAGAGCGGCGGACGGGUGAGUAACGCGUGGGUAACCUGCCUCAUACACAUGGAUAACAUACCGAAAGGUAUGCUAAUACAGGAUAAUAUAAGAGAUUCACAUGGAUUUCUUAUCAAAGCUCCGGCGGUAUGAGAUGGACCCGCGUCUGAUUAGCUAGUUGGUAAGGUAAUGGCUUACCAAGGCGACGAUCAGUAGCCGACCUGAGAGGGUGAUCGGCCACAUUGGAACUGAGACACGGUCCAAACUCCUACGGGAGGCAGCAGUGGGGAAUAUUGCACAAUGGGCGAAAGCCUGAUGCAAGCAACGCCGCGUGAGUGAUGAAGGCCUUCGGGUCGUAAAACUCUGUCCUCAAGGAAGAUAAUGACGGUACUUGAGGAGGAAGCCCCGGCUAACUACGUGCCAGCAGCUGC